rnacentral:rRNA from 1 species
AGAGUUUGAUCCUGGCUCAGGAUGAACGCUGGCGGCGUGCCUAACACAUGCAAGUCGAACGAAGCAUGACCCUUGAGGCCUUCGGGCGAAGGGGCCAUGACUUAGUGGCGGACGGGUGAGUAACGCGUGGGUAACCUGCCCUAUACUGGGGGAUAACAGCUAGAAAUGGCUGCUAAUACCGCAUGAGCGCACAGUCCCGCAUGGGACAGUGCGGAAAACUCCGGUGGUAUAGGAUGGACCCGCGUCCGAUCAGCUGGUUGGUGGGGUAACGGCCCACCAAGGCGACGAUCGGUAGCCGACCUGAGAGGGUGACCGGCCACAUUGGGACUGAGACACGGCCCAAACUCCUACGGGAGGCAGCAGUGGGGGAUAUUGCACAAUGGGGGGAACCCUGAUGCAGCGACGCCGCGUGAGUGAAGGAGUACUCCGGUAUGUAAAGCUCUAUCAGCAGGGAAGAACAAAGACGGUACCUGACCAAGAAGCCCCGGCUAACUACGUG